AUUGAACGCUGGCGGCAGGCCUAACACAUGCAAGUCGAACGGUAACAGGAAUAGCUUGCUAUUCGCUGACGAGUGGCGGACGGGUGAGUAAUGCUUGGGAACUUGCCUUUGCGAGGGGGAUAACAGUUGGAAACGACUGCUAAUACCGCAUAAUGUCUACGGACCAAACGGGGCUUAGGCUCCGGCGCAAAGAGAGGCCCAAGUGAGAUUAGCUAGUUGGUAAGGUAAAGGCUUACCAAGGCAACGAUCUCUAGCUGUUCUGAGAGGAAGAUCAGCCACACUGGAACUGAGACACGGUCCAGACUCCUACGGGAGGCAGCAGUGGGGAAUAUUGCACAAUGGGGGAAACCCUGAUGCAGCCAUGCCGCGUGUGUGAAGAAGGCCUUCGGGUUGUAAAGCACUUUCAGUUGUGAGGAAAAGUUAGUAGUUAAUACCUGCUAGCCGUGACGUUAACAACAGAAGAAGCACCGGCUAACUCCGUGCCAGCAGCCGCGGUAAUACGGAGGGUGCGAGCGUUAAUCGGAAUUACUGGGCGUAAAGCGCACGCAGGCGGUUUGUUAAGCUAGAUGUGAAAGCCCCGGGCUCAACCUGGGAUGGUCAUUUAGAACUGGCAGACUAGAGUCUUGGAGAGGGGAGUGGAAUUCCAGGUGUAGCGGUGAAAUGCGUAGAUAUCUGGAGGAACAUCAGUGGCGAAGGCGACUCCCUGGCCAAAGACUGACGCUCAUGUGCGAAAGUGUGGGUAGCGAACAGGAUUAGAUACCCUGGUAGUCCACACCGUAAACGCUGUCUACUAGCUGUUUGUGGCUUUAAGCCGUGAGUAGCGAAGCUAACGCGNUAAGUAGACCGCCUGGGGAGUACGGCCGCAAGGUUAAAACUCAAAUGAAUUGACGGGGGCCCGCACAAGCGGUGGAGCAUGUGGUUUAAUUCGAUGCAACGCGAAGAACCUUACCUACACUUGACAUGCAGAGAACUUUCCAGAGAUGGAUUGGUGCCUUCGGGAACUCUGACACAGGUGCUGCAUGGCUGUCGUCAGCUCGUGUCGUGAGAUGUUGGGUUAAGUCCCGCAACGAGCGCAACCCUUGUCCUUAGUUGCCAGCAUUCAGUUGGGCACUCUAAGGAGACUGCCGGUGACAAACCGGA
rnacentral:rRNA from 1 species